AAGACUACACUUCCAGGUACUGCUUCUACAGUUUGUUACUAGAUAAGUUUCUCUGACUCUAUAGAGCACCCAAGACCACAAGGAAGAAAUGAACCAUUCUUUCCUGACUGUGAAUCCAGCUCUAGGAGCUGCUCCCACUUCCCAGGGUUACAGAGCAACAGUAGUCAACUGCCAGUACCCACAUAGAGGUUCACAACCUUAGGUUCCAAAGGUUUCUGAGGGU
rfam:Mus musculus chromosome 11, GRC primary reference assembly.